rnacentral:tRNA from 5 species
GUAGCUCAGUUGAUAGAGCAUUAGCCUUCCAAGCUGAGGGUCGCGGGUUUGAGCCCCGUCUUCCGCU